UACAGAGGGGGCAAGCGUUGUUCGGAAUUACUGGGCGUAAAGGGCGCGUAGGCGGCCCGCUAAGUCGAACGUGAAAUCCCCAGGCUUAACCUGGGAACUGCAUCCGAUACUGGAUGGCUUGAAUUCGGGAGAGGGAUGCAGAAUUCCAGGUGUAGCGGUGAAAUGCGUAGAUAUUGGGAAGAACACCGGUGGCGAAGGCGGCGACCUGGUCCUUGACUGACGCUGAGGCGCGAAAGCGUGGGGAGCAAACAGG
rnacentral:rRNA from 1 species